UCCCUUCCCUGCCUUUACCUCUCUCUUCUCCCAGGUCGACCAACUUGACUGUAUCUUUCCGCCCAGAAAAGCAGCUCCACGCGCUGAUGUCAGUGUGCGCCAUCUUACAACUACACCUCUUUCCACCAAUCAGACGGCUUUCUACGGCAACGUGCUGCUAUCGCGAGAUUACUCCCAAUCAGAUGACGCGAGAAAUGUUCCACAAACAAUGCAAGUGCCUGUAUGAUGACGGUAAGUAUGAUAAAGUUAAUUCAUUAAAUAAAUAA